CAACUGUCCCUGCACACACUACGAAGCUGCUGCGGGAAGCAAAUCAGUAGGGAGACGAGAUGUGUAGAAUCAUGUACGUCGUUAAGUGCUGCUUAUUUUCAUGUGUCCUUCUACAACUUUGCAGUGCACAGAACCUUAACUGCACCAUCACCCAUUAUGCAGACCGAACAUUCUACAACGUCUCAGACGGGUCUCGGGUCUUUGAUGUCAAGGAAUCCAACUGCCCAUUCUCGUGGGCCAACGGAACUGACCAUGUGUUGGCACAUCAAAGCAGUAGAGACCCUGACCUGGUGAUGGACUCCAACAUCAACCAUCUCAUCACCUCAAAAUGCUUUCAAAUCAUUUUGUUUAAACGUCACUGCCCUUCUGAGGGGACAGAUUACACAGCUAACUGCAUAACCAACUGCACUCUAACUUCUCUCGGAACAUCUCAGGAAACAAAAGAGAGUCCUACUGUUGGUAUUACUGUUGCUGUCCUGUUGCUGGUCGGGCUCUUCUUCGUCCUCCUUAGUGCCUUGUGCUACAAAUGCAGAAAGAGAAUUCCAGGAUAUGCAGCUUGUAUCUCACGACGCCUCUACACUUCGCCUGUGAAGUUGUAGAACGUUGCCUUCACAGCAGUUUAGGAUGGUAGCUCAAGACUGAAAUCUAAAGUAGUUCAGUAUACUGUGGCACGCCAUGUAUAGGCAUUAUGACCUAUUCAUGCUGAAAACUAUAGUCAUGCUUUUUAAUCAUUCCUACAUUAUCUCUGCUGCACUACUCUUUACAUUUGGCCAAAAUCAGUGUGUUGUGCCUUUCUUUAGGGAACCAUCUUUUCCCUGUUUAAAAAAAAUGACACACCCUUUUUUAAAUCCGUAUUUCAGCUACCUAAAUUGUGUUAUCUAUUCAUGUCACAGUUUAAACUGUGUUGCUGUAACAAUGUAUGGGAUUAGUAGCCCAAUCAUGUAUUAGCAUCGCUGAUCAGUUCUUAAUUUGGUUCUAAAAACCCACAUCCACUACCAUCAUGUUAACAAGCCAUUGCUGCAAGAAAAGGUUCCAGGGAAACACUUUAUCAUAUAUGGUUUUGCUUUUAUAUAUUAUCUAAGGCUGUACACUUUACAAAUGAAUGUAAUCAGUUAAGGACAAUGUGUACACACAUGUGAUUUGGGAUACAUGUGGUUAUCACUCAAGCAAAGACCGUCAGUGUGACAGAUGUUGAGUUACAGUGACACUGUAAGCUUCAUUCACUGUGUCAUUGUUACAUUUGAGACAUAAUCCACCACAGUUGUCUUUAGAUGUAUAUCUGACUGGAUAUGGAACACUUAAUAAUAGUACUUAAUAUUCCCUUGAUAAUAGUUGCACAGCCAUUAGUUGGCUAUGAUGUUUUGGUGCACAGAUACAUAGUUAUUGAGGCUGUGGAAGCAGACAGACAGCUAGUAUACUUUUAGGACCAACGCCCAGUAGCAAUGCAGUAACCUCCCCAGGUCCAGGACCUCAUAUUGGUGUUAACGGGAACCAAAGCUGUGGAAGUUCGGAGACUCGUAAUGCAGCACCAGGGCGUGCCCAUUCAGUGUCCUGUAGCAGUACAACUCUUAAUAUUCAUCUGAAGCCUUAAGUCAUUCCCUGCACAGAGAAAUAUACAUGUUUUUAUUUUUAUAUUUCUCAUAUAUAUUAAUAGAUAUAUUUGUACUGAUGGAUAAUACAAUAAAUAUAUAAUAUAGUAAGUAAAUAAUGUUAGCAUAUUUAUAUCUGAAUAUAUAUAUAUAUUAUAUUUUAUACACUAUACUAUAAUUAUAAAUACACUGAAAGGGUUUGGAUGUAAUAAUGUGUGCAAUGUAAUUCUAUCCAAUACAAUUGUUUGUGACGUAAUGAAGAUAUAGUCGUAUUGGAGGUUGUAAGGAGGUUGUAAGUCAUUGUAUGUCUUUUAUUCUUCAAUUAUACGCCAUGAGUCUCCCUGUAAACUUCUUCUCUUCAAUAAAAAGAUACAUUUUCAAAACAAGAGUUUUUAUUUUUAUUGUCUACUGUAAUG
rnacentral:lncRNA from 1 species